rnacentral:rRNA from 1 species
AGCGAACGCUGGCGGCAGGCCUAAUACAUGCAAGUCGAACGGCUCUUCGGAGCAGUGGCGGACGGGUGAGUAACGCGUGGGAAUGUGCCCUUUGGUACGGAACAACACAGGGAAACUUGUGCUAAUACCGUAUGUGCCCUUAGGGGGAAAGAUUUAUCGCCGAAAGAGCGGCCCGCGUUAGAUUAGCUAGUUGGUGAGGUAAAGGCUCACCAAGGCUACGAUCUAUAGCUGGUCUGAGAGGAUGAUCAGCCACACUGGGACUGAGACACGGCCCAGACUCCUACGGGAGGCAGCAGUGGGGAAUCUUGCGCAACGGGCGAAAGCCUGACGCAGCCAUGCCGCGUGAAUGAUGAAGGUCUUAGGAUUGUAAAAUUCUUUUACCAGGGACGAUAAUGACGGUACCUGGAGAAAAAGCCCCGGCUAACUUCGUGCCAGCAGCCGCGGUAAUAC